rnacentral:rRNA from 1 species
AUGGGGAGUAGUUCCGUUAGGACUGUCCGUGUGUUGUUCUGGAAUGUCCAGGGUUUGGGUUCUAAGGACAAAUGCGACGUUGUCAAAAACCUUGUGAUCUCAGCCAACCCUAGUCUUGUUUGCCUUUAGGAAAGUAAGCUUUCUGUCUUAGACUCCCGUAAGGCUGCUACCUUCCUUCUAGGGCGCAUCACGGAGUUUCUCACCAAGGAUGCGGAUGGGAGCCGUGGAGGUGUGGUGACGGCCUGGGAUCCUGCGCGUUACUCCCUGGUUUCCUCUUCUGAAUCGCGUUUCUCUCUUACUGUCACGCUGGCUUGCACUUCCUCGGCCGCGCGUAUGAUGAUUGCCAAUGUGUACGGGCCCUCUGAUCACUCCCUCGUGGAUGUUUUCGUGGGAGACAUGGUUGCCUUGCCUGCUAUUGUCUCGGAUGCCUGGCUCGUUCUUGGUGAUUUCAAUCUUAUCCGUGAUCCGUCAGAGAAAAAUAAUGAUCGCUUUGACGUCAGGCGUGCCGCUAAGUUUAACUCUUCGAUCAACUCUGCUGCCCUCCACGAACUGCAUCUCUCGGAUCGUCUAUACACUUGGUCUAAUCGGCAGAACCCCCCGACCUUGGCUCGCUUGGACAGGGCGUUUUUCGACAAUAGGUGGGACGCGGCCUUCCCUGACUCGACUCUCUCCUCCUUUCCCCGCACCACGUCUGAUCAUGUCCCUCUUUUGGUGGCUGCUUCCACCAAAGUCCCCACCCCCUCUCGCUUCUUCUUCGAAAAUGCUUGGUUAACCGACCCCCUUCUCCUCCCUUCCACUCUCCCUUCUUGGGUUAACUCGGUCCGAGGCACGGGCGCGGCUGGGAUUCUUUCAGCCAAAAAGAAAGCAUUUAGGUCUGCUUCCAAGGCUUGGAAAAAGCGUCACCGGUUCAUCCCUACUUUUGAUAACGACUGCCGGUUCUUGAUCGGUUUCUUUGAAUUUUUGGAGGAAAACCGUUCUUUGUCUGCAGAAGAAUCAACACUGAGAGGUGACGCGUGCCAGGCGCUUGCGAGCUCGAUUCUCCGCCAAUGUGCUCACUGGCGACAACGCAGGAAGAUGCGGGUGGUCUGUGAGGGGGACGAGAACACUCAGUUCUUCCACGCGUCCGCCUCUCACCGCCGUCGUUGCAAUACAGUCGCCUCCCUGGAAGUCGAAAGGGUACGCGUGGUGGAUCAUGCAGGAAAGGCCGCCGCGCUACCGGGCUUCUUCACCGGCCUCUUAGCUUAGACGCGACGGCCCGUCUGGCGUUUCUCCCUCUCUGGGUUGUACGCCCACUCGGCGCGGGUGGACGGCCCGCCUCUCAUCGCUCCAUUCAGCCCCGCAGAGGUCAAGGCCGUGGUCGAGGCGUUGGACCGCACCAGUGCGCCUGGGCCCGACGGGCUAGGGCCUGCCUUCUACCAGGCGGCUUGGCGCGAAGUGGCGGAUGAUCUUCAGAGGCUGUUCGAUGACCUCUGGUCCGGUUCUGCCUCCCUGGAUGGGAUUAAUUGAGCUUAUGUGGCUCUCCUCCCCAAGACAACCGAUGUGCCGACGCCGGCUGAUUUCCAGCCUGUCUCCCUGCAAAACGGAGAUGUCAAGAUCUUGUGCCGAGGGCUGACGACCAGGCUUCAAAAGCAGAUUGUGGAUCUGAUUGAUGAAGACCAGUCUGGAUUCGUGAAAGGGAGGAGCAUCUCUGAAAAUUUUGUCUAUGCCACUGAAUUAGUCCAAUGCUGCCACAAAAGGAAAACGCCAGCAGUUGUGUUGAAGCUAGACUUCUCCAAGGCUUUUGACUCGGUUAACUGGGAGAGCCUCCGUUCUAUCAUGGAGGUUCGUGGCUUCCCACCUGCUUGGUGCGGCUGGAUUGACGGGAUCCUCCGUUCAUCCCGCUCGGCGGUCUUGCUGAAUGGGGUGCCCGGAAAAUUUUGA